AAAUAAUAUUAAGAAUGAUUUUAUAAUUAGAUACAUUAUAUGAUUAUAGAAUAAUCAUACAUAUACUGUGUGUAUGUGUGUAUGUAUGUACAAAAAUGUUACAAUUAAAAACUGCUGGGGAUACAGCUCAGGUGGUAGAGUGGUUGCCUUGAAUGCACAAGGCCCUGAGUUCAAUCGCCGGCACCACAAAAAACAAACAAAAAACUUGGUGAAACUAUCUGUGCCUCAAAACAUCUUGAUCUGCCCUUCAGGUCAGGUGGCUGUCCAGGAAAUCUCUAGUUUCCCAGAUGGUCUUUCUGUUCAUUCAGGAAGGACUUUCUAACCUGACCCACUUACAUCUCUGGGUGACGUGGAUCACCAAGCUUCUCCCUGUGUCUGACCCGUCCACCAGGCCUCAAGCUGGAGCAUGCUGGCCAUCAGCCUGCGUGGCUGGGGGUUGGGGGUAGGCACACGGCUGGAGCAGGCCCUGGCACAAGGGUGUGGCGGGGCAGGUAGCUGUCCGCCACGGAGGGAGGGCAUGGCCUGGCGACUUCCCCGCACACUAUUCCUGUGCUGAAGCCCAAGUCUGAACCCUCGCUUCUGGUUUCUUUGAAAAUCUUUGGUGCACAAAUAAGCAAAUGAGGGACAAGGAAUGUCCAGUCAUUGUUUGAGGAGUUUCUGGAAUUCGGAGCAUUGUGAUUCUAGUUGUUUGGAAAAGCUUUGGGUUGCCUGUUUAUCAUACAGCACAGGCACAUGAAUAACUUCCUGGGGGACUGGCCCGCAUUCUUGGUCCCCUUGGCGUCUCUUGCCCAGCAAGGUUCAUUCAGGGCGUCUUCCCAACAUCCUGUCUGGGAAUGACCUUCUUUUCUCCACUUACUGAGCUCUUGGAGUCCUUAUUGAAAUGACCUCCUGCACAGGAAGGCCCGCUGUGGCGCCUGGCAAGAGAAAACAGCCCUGGUUUCUAGGAAGUCUCUCUCUCUCUCUCUCUCUCUCUCUCUCUCUCUCUCUUUCUCUCUUUCACACACACACACACACACACACACUGGCAAAGGCCAAGUGUUCUUCCGAAGGCCUGGUAUGGAAGACCAGCAGACAUUUCAGCAACGUUCAAAACAGAGGCAGAGACGGGCACAGGGCACAUGGGUGAAACCAGCCGUUGUCACAGGUGGCGUCUGCAGUGGCCACAGCAAGCCAAAGUGGGCCUGAGGGGAAAAGACAGAGAGCUGUCCCCCACGGAGGAAAGGCAUCGCCUGCUUUCAGGCUGAAAAAUUAUUCACUGAGAUGUCUGCAAAGCCAGUGGCACUUAGGAGAAAAAUAAUUGUGGAAUUUAUGUAAAAGGAAUUAUGCUCCAUCUCCAGUGCAGAAAAACUAAUGGCUGUCAUGUUCUGAAGCUGUCAGAAUUUUUUUUUCCCCUUUUCAUUUUUCUAAAGGAUACCAGUGUGAACAGGGGAACCCAGAAGAAAGGGGCAGGUGUGUCCUUUAAAUUGGUUCUCCAUCUCAAGUAAGACCUGCUUGAACAUCAUCAAGAACUUUAAAGUUCUCCCCUCCCACCCUGGUAGAAGGAUUCCUUUUUUAUUUAGAACUAAUACUUUUGUAAUUGUCGUGUAAAGACAUUCAUCAGACAGGGAUUCUGAUAACUGAAGAGUUAAGUGACCUGCCCUGGUUUGAGUGCAGAACUGUGAGUCCCACUGCAUGGUGUUCGCCUGAACUGCCCUCUCCGUGGUCCAAGCAGCGUCCUCAGUGUGACCUAAGCAAGGCCCCGUGCUCAGAAGUGCUCCCCACCAGUUUGACACUCCGCAGUGGCUACCUUGAAAUCCUUCACAGUUAUCAUCUUUGAACUUAUGUCUUAUAAUUGAACUCCAACGGAACAACAGGACACAUGUGUGAGCUGGGUAGUUACAUGCAAGAAGCGUGUCCACUGAUCUUUUCUGACAUUCAUGUUUAGUCUUUGUGAUGCCCCUUGAGCCCAGAAAUCUACUCAAAGCAAAUACGAGGAAAGUGUAUGUACAGUACAGGUGUGGGGGUGCAAGCUUGUGAUCCCAGCAAUGUGGGGCGCUAAGGCAGGAGGAGUACAAGUUGAAGGCCAACUUGGGUAACUUAGUGAGAUCUUGUCUCAAAAUAAAACAAAAACGUCUGGGGGUAUGGCUCAGUGGCAGAGCGCCUCUGGGUUCAGUCCCCAGUACUAAAAAAAAAAAGAAAAGAAAACCUACAUCAAGUGAGGUGAGGCAGGGAAAAGGAGGAACUCCUUCCAUUUGAACCAGAAUUUGAAUGAAGAAGGAAGUCCAUGGUAUUCUAAGAAACACCAAUGACCAGGGACACCAUCAUGCCCUUUCUGCUUCCCCAACAUCAAUCAGGUGAACUCUGGAAAUGAAGACUUACACUAAGAGCAAAAGAGAGGGCAACUGCAAUCCUUUACCUAUUUCCUCUUUCCUUCCUCAUCACUGAGCCAAAGGUCCAGACUGCUGGUAGGAUGUGUGAGUAUCAGGGGUGAAAUGAAAAGAAUUGAGUUAGUUUGGGGCAAUAUUUCCACUCUUCUGAAAAGAAUGAAACUACACAUGCAUAAAUAAGCUACAAAACUGGAAUUAUGGACCAAGUAAUUUCAGUGAUUCCGUGUACAAAUAAAAUACCUUAUAUUUGCAUUUUAAAAAAGACUUUGCACAGCAUAAAGAUAAAUGGUAAAAUUCACGCCAACAGUUAAAAAUUCUAUUUUUUUUCUUUUUAUUUAGAAUAACAUUAAAAUGACAAGUUAAAAACAUUCUGGCAAGUUGAGUGACUAUAGAAGAAAGGAAAACAGUUUACAUAACAAUGUCUUAAUGCUAAUUUCUUCCCCUGUCUUUAAACAAUUUUCAUUUUGCACUGGGCCCCACAAAAUAUAUAGCUGGCCCUGCUGGUGAUAAACACAGAUUUCUGUGGAAACACACAAUAGCCUUGGCAAUGGAUGUGGACAGCUUGUGUCCACUAGGGUUCACAGCACGUUUACAUAGAACUUCAUGUUAAUGGUUGUUUUUGUUUGGAUUCCCUCCGAGAUGCACCCUGGGAUGAGGAAUCCAAUCAGAAGGAUUAUCUCUGAAGCCAAGAGGGGAGCAAGAAAAGCAGGUGAGGAAGGGAAGACAAUCAGCCAUGUGCCACAAAGGUGUCACCCCUGUGGGGAAUGGAGCUCCUUCCUGCUGGGGACGAGGCAGUGUUAUCCCAGAUUACCCCAGACCCAGGACAGGGAAGCUGGAGCAUUUGUCUGCUAUUGAUGGUCAGUUACUCCUGGAGAUACUAAUUCUCUGCCAUUUCUAGUGUGGUCUGCUCCUGGUUACUAUGGCCAGAAAGAAACACCCCUAAGAAGAGAAUCCCAGGUAUAGACAGGGUGCCAACAGAACCUAUAACAUUAGUCAGGCUGAAGAUAUGUGUUAAAAUUACUAGUGAGACCCUGGAAAGACGGGGGACAAG
rnacentral:lncRNA from 1 species